AGCUUAAUGUUAAAUUGUUACGAUAAUAUAUGUAGAGAGGAUGCUAAUGGAUCAUUUCCACUUCUUUCGUCCGAACAUGCCUUUGCCUCGUUUCCCUCCGAACAUGCCAUGCUUGCUUCUUUUGCCUCCGAACAUACCGUGCUUGCCACGCUUGUACUUCCCUCCACCAAACAUACUAUGCUUUCCUCGCUUGUACUUUCCUCCUCCGAAAAACCCUCUUUUGUAUUUUCCGUGGCCGUGGUGCCCGUAGCCUCCGUGAUGACCCGCAUGGUGACCUCC
rnacentral:sRNA from 1 species